UACAGAGGGUGCGAGCGUUAAUCGGAAUUACUGGGCGUAAAGCGUGCGCAGGCGGUUUUGUAAGCCAGAUGUGAAAGCCCCGGGCUUAACCUGGGAAUGGCAUUUGGGACUGCAAGGCUUGAGUGCGGCAGAGGAGACUGGAAUUCCUGGUGUAGCAGUGAAAUGCGUAGAUAUCAGGAGGAAUACCGAUGGCGAAGGCAGGUCUCUGGGCUGAUACUGACGCUCAUGCACGAAAGCGUGGGGAGCAAACAGG
rnacentral:rRNA from 1 species